AAUAGAACAGGGACACCGGGAGCUUCCCCUGACUGUUUUUCAUGCAGAGGUUCAGGGGUCCGACUCAAGACAAAGAGCGCUGUUACGCAUGCUCAGUGGGAUGCAGCUGCAUCACAGUUUCACUCCCGGUUUGUGGCUCAAAGGAAACCUCAGAGAAACAAGAUAAAUACUUGCACAAGGAAUAGUCUAAGGGCAGGAGACAACGCAUUCAGGAAGUACUCAACUUUGCAAUGUAAACAGUGGAGAGGGUAGAGGUAGAGCUCUUCAGCUCUUCUGGUGUUUUUGUUUUUUUCCUGGGGGGGGGGGUGUGUCUUUGUGUUCUCAAAUGCUCUUUAUUGUCCCGCACUACAACUCUCUCUUGGUUUUUUUUUUUUUUUUUUUUUUUUCCAGGAGACCAUGUUAAAGCAGCAGAAGAGCUUUCCAAUAGAAAAUUCGACUACUGCUGAAGCCUUGCGUGUGCUUUUCCUUCCACAUUAGUCAGUUUAUACGUAUUCGGUCUUCAUCUCCGGAUCUUACAUGUAAACAGCUGGGCCUUUGGAACAUAUGAUACCGACAUGCAUAUUUCAGUAUUUUCCUCUUUUAUGACUUUAACUAUGGAGUGGGAGGUUGUAUUUGAAGGAGUUACAAAAAUACCCCGUGAAAUGAAAUGAAAUGAUAAUUUUCCUAAUUAGAUAUUUUAUUGAA
rnacentral:lncRNA from 1 species